UGGGAUCAGAGGAGCACCGGUACUAUAAAAGGGCAAUUGCGUACAUGCUUUCUGGUGUAUAACACAAAACAAGGCAGAGGCUAAAAUGUACUGCUAUAGGCGAGGUCAAGAGAAAAUGGCGGCACCAGUUGAGCAAGUUAAGCUUGGGGUUGGAGGCUUCAAACUGGAGGAUUCCAAUUAUAAGCCACAACGGAAUCCUCCUUCCAAUACAGCUCAAGUUCCCCAUCAAGCAAGAGAUGAUCAAGUUAUUGAUAGCAACAUGGCUGCGAAAAAAUACAAUGGCAUCUUGAUUGUUGAUUAUCGCACAAGAGAUGAUCAAGUUAUUGAUAGCAACAUGGCUGCGAAAAAAUACGGUGGCAUCUCGAUUGUUGAUUAUCGCGCAAGAGAUAAGCCUAUUAAUUGUUACAAGGCGGCGAAUAAGUGUGAUGGCAUCUUAGUUGUUGAUAAUCCUGUUAGAGAUCGAAACCGCAGCUGAAAAGUAUGGCGGCCAGUUGAUGCAGUAUCCGGCCACAAAAGUACCACCACGUAUGCCGUUAACUCAAGAGUACUAUUUUUAAUUAUAACUCAGGUGAUCGGACCAUCUUACACGAACACGCUCUAUUUCCUAUGUAUAAGAACAAAGAUAAUGAUGUAAUGUUGUAAUCUGUACUGUACCAAAGGAAUCAUCUAAUGCUACAUAUAGUCUGCCUAUUUA